rnacentral:tRNA from 1 species
GGGGUAAAAGCUUAUUAAGCAGCUAACUGUUAACUAGCAGACAACGAUUCUUCACUCGUUUACUCCA